UGAGGAAUAUUGGACAAUGGGCGCAAGCCUGAUCCAGCAAUGCCGCGUGCAGGAUGAAGGCCUUCGGGUUGCAAACUGCUUUUGUACGGAGCGAAAAGGUCUGCCCUAAUACGGUGGGCUCAUGACGGUACCGUAAGAAUAAGCACCGGCUAACUACGUGCCAGCAGCCGCGGUAGUACGUAGGGUGCGAGCGUUAAUCGGAAUUACUGGGCGUAAAGCGUGCGCAGGCGGUUAUAUAAGACAGAUGUGAAAUCCCCGGGCUCAACCUGGGACCUGCAUUUGUGACUGUAUAGCUAGAGUACGGUAGAGGGGGAUGGAAUUCCGCGUGUAGCAGUGAAAUGCGUAGAUAUGCGGAGGAACACCGAUGGCGAAGGCAAUCCCCUGGACCUGUACUGACGCCCAUGCACGAAAGCGUGGGGAGCAAACA
rnacentral:rRNA from 1 species